rnacentral:rRNA from 1 species
UGCCAGCAGCCGCGGUAAUACGGAGGGGGCUAGCGUUGUUCGGAAUUACUGGGCGUAAAGCGCGCGUAGGCGGUCCGCAUAGUCAGGCGUGAAAGCCCCGGGCUCAACCUGGGAACUGCGUUUGAUACUGGCGGGCUAGAGUUCGGGAGAGGGAGGUAGAAUUUCCGGUGUAGCGGUGAAAUGCGUAGAGAUCGGAAGGAAUACCGGUGGCGAAGGCGGCUUUCUGGACCGAUACUGACGCUGAGACGCGAAAGCGUGGGGAGCAAACAGGAUUAGAUA